GACGAACGCUGGCGGCGUGCUUAACACAUGCAAGUCGAACGGAAAGGCCCUGCUUUUGUGGGGUGCUCGAGUGGCGAACGGGUGAGUAACACGUGAGUAACCUGCCCUUGACUUUGGGAUAACUUCAGGAAACUGGGGCUAAUACCGGAUAGGAGCUCCUGCUGCAUGGUGGGGGUUGGAAAGUUUCGGCGGUUGGGGAUGGACUCGCGGCUUAUCAGCUUGUUGGUGGGGUAGUGGCUUACCAAGGCUUUGACGGGUAGCCGGCCUGAGAGGGUGACCGGCCACAUUGGGACUGAGAGACGGCCCAGACUCCUACGGGAGGCAGCAGUCGGGAAUAUUGCACAAUGGGCGGAAGCCUGAGGCAGCAACGCCGCGUGCGGGAUGACGUCCUUCGAGUUGUAAACCGCUUUCGCAUGUGACGAAGCGGGAGUGACGGUAAUGGGUAAAGAAGCACCGGCUAACUACGUG
rnacentral:rRNA from 1 species